rnacentral:rRNA from 1 species
AGUGAACGCUGGCGGUAGGCCUAACACAUGCAAGUCGAACGGCAGCACAGUAAGAGCUUGCUCUUACGGGUGGCGAGUGGCGGACGGGUGAGGAAUACAUCGGAAUCUACUUUUUCGUGGGGGUUAACGUAGGGAAACUUACGCUAAUACCGCAUACGACCUACGGGUGAAAGCAGGGGAUCUUCGGACCUUGCGCGAUUGAAUGAGCCGAUGUCGGAUUAGCUAGUUGGCGGGGUAAAGGCCCACCAAGGCGACGAUCCGUAGCUGGUCUGAGAGGAUGAUCAGCCACACUGGAACUGGGACACGGUCCAGACUCCUACGGGAGGCAGCAGUGGGGAAUAUGGGACAAUGGGCGGAAGCCUGAUCCAGCCAGACCGCGUGGGUGGAGGAGGCCUUCGGGUUGUAAAGCCCUUUUGUUGGGAAAGAAAAGCAGCAGGUUAAUACCCCGCUGUUCUGACGGUACCCAAAGAAUAAGCACCGGCUAACUUCGUG